GACGAACGCUGGCGGCGUGCUUAACACAUGCAAGUCGAACGGAAAGGCCCUGCUUUUGUGGGGUGCUCGAGUGGCGAACGGGUGAGUAACACGUGAGUAACCUGCCCUUGACUUUGGGAUAACUUCAGGAAACUGGGGCUAAUACCGGAUAGGAGCUCCUGCUGCAUGGUGGGGGUUGGAAAGUUUCGGCGGUUGGGGAUGGACUCGCGGCUUAUCAGCUUGUUGGUGGGGUAGUGGCUUACCAAGGCUUUGACGGGUAGCCGGCCUGAGAGGGUGACCGGCCACAUUGGGACUGAGAGACGGCCCAGACUCCUACGGGAGGCAGCAGUGGGGAAUAUUGCACAAUGGGCGGAAGCCUGAUGCAGCAACGCCGCGUGCGGGAUGACGGCCUUCGGGUUGUAAACCGCUUUCGCCUGUGACGAAGCGUGAGUGACGGUAAUGGGGAAAGAAGCACCGGCUAACUACGG
rnacentral:rRNA from 1 species